rnacentral:misc_RNA from 1 species
UCUCUGUCUUCUCUCUUCCAAUAUGCCUCUUAUAGGAUUUCAUGACUUCAAUUUGUCUCUUAUCUUUAAUUUCCCCCAAACUUAGAUCAGUUUUGUGCUUGGGCUAGAUAACUGAGGAUUUAGUGGAGCUUGUGCCUGGUAUCUAGGCAGUGUUUGUCUCUCAUUGUUUUCUAAUGUGACAAUUAGCUGACAUUUUAAAGUAAACGAUGAUGAAAUUUGAAUUGGCGGACUGGUCAAACAUUUUUGAAAAUGAUUCAUUCUCAAGGUAGUUGAUAGUGAUUCUUAUGAUAUAUGUUAAAAAUCCUUUGGGUUUUUUUGUGAAAAUUGAAAGCAGAGGGAAUUCUUGAGGAGUAGCUGUAUUAUGAAGUUUGAUUUCUUUUGUAAAAUUCCAAAAGGAACAUGAAGGAUCAUAUAAGUUUGGAGGACAGAUGUAUCUUUCACACAACUACUUAAAAGACACACAAGCAGAUUUCAUCUCGGUGGAAAAUGGAUGAAAGAAUAUUUUACACUUUGGUAUUGUUUGAACCAGUUCUCAAAAUUCUGUUGAUGCAAUCAAGUUAUUUAUGUUUUUUAAUUGCAUAUUACUGGUUUCAAACUCUUGCUGCUUAUCAUUUGCCUUAAAGUCUAUCCAAGUUCGGUAAUUUGCAUUAUCUAAACCAUUGG